GCGGGCAUGGUGUAGCAGCAGCACAAAACCCUUCCAAGGUUUGAGCGCGAGUGCAAGUCUCGCUGCCCGCUCCA
rnacentral:tRNA from 1 species